rnacentral:rRNA from 1 species
CCUGAACGCUGGCGGCGUGGCUAAGACAUGCAAGUCGAACGGAUGUAGCAAUACAUCAGUGGCGGACGGGUGAGUAAUGUAUCGCUAAUGUGCCCUAGAGCCUGGGAUAGCCAUCCGAAAGGGUGGUAAUACCAGAUGAAAUAACUUUGUCGCAUGGCAAAGUUCUCAAAGCAGCAAUGCACUCCUGGAGCAGGCGAUACGUAUCAGCUAGUUGGUGAGGUAACGGCUCACCAAGGCGACGACGCGUAGCCGGGCUGAGAGGUUGACCGGCCACAUUGGGACUGAGACACUGCCCAGACUCCGUACGGGGG